rnacentral:rRNA from 1 species
GAUAAGGAGCGUGCUCCUUUGACGUUAGCGGCGGACGGGGGAGUAACACGUGGAUAACCUACCUAUAAGACUGGGAUAACUUCGGGAAACCGGAGCUAAUACCGGAUAAGAUUUUGAACCGCAUGGUUCAAUAGUGAAAGACGGCCUUGCUGUCACUUAUAGAUGGAUCCGCGCCGUAUUAGCUAGUUGGUAAGGUAACGGCUUACCAAGGCAACGAUACGUAGCCGACCUGAGAGGGUGAUCGGCCACACUGGAACUGAGACACGGUCCAGACUCCUACGGGAGGCAGCAGUAGGGAAUCUUCCGCAAUGGGCGAAAGCCUGACGGAGCAACGCCGCGUGAGUGAUGAAGGUCUUCGGAUCGUAAAACUCUGUUAUCAGGGAAGAACAAACGUGUAAGUAACUGUGCACGUCUUGACGGUACCUGAUCAGAAAGCCACGGCUAACUACGUGCCAGCAGCCGCGGUAAUACGUAGGUGGCAAGCGUUAUCCGGAAUUAUUGGGCGUAAAGCGCGCGUAGGCGG